rnacentral:rRNA from 1 species
UACGUAGGGUGCAGGCGUUAAUCGGAAUUACUGGGCAUAAAGGGUGCGUAGGCGGCUUGUUAAGUCAGGGGUGAAAGUUUUCGGCCCAACCGGAAAAUGGCCUUUGAUACUGGCGAGCUCGAGUGCGUGAGGGGUGACUGGAACGAGCAGUGUAGCGGUGAAAUGCGUAGAUAUUGCUCGGAAGGCCAACGGCGAAGGCAGGUCACUGGUACGCAACUGACGCUGAGGCACGAAAGCGUGGGGAGCAAACAGG